UAACGUGUGAAUACUUUUGAUUAUGAUUAUGCAAUGUGCAGCAGUAAUAUUGUAUGUUUUCAUAUUAUGUGUUUUCACAGUUGAGUGCACGCAGUGCUUCAGCAUCUCAGACACGUUGGACGCUUGCCUUGACAUCUCUCUUAAUAUCAACAAAUCCCUGGUGAAGGCUUUUUAUGAAUUCACAAAGACCGAGAAUCUUGCAGAAUACAGAUGUGGAAUGUGAGUAUGCAAUCUUCCAUCGUGCACCUUGAAACGUUCGUGUAUAUCCCCAUUUAUACAGUGUGUGAUCAAACACGCACCUCGUCCGUAAACUAACGUUGCUAUUGUCUGGCGAACAGGUGCUCACGCGUGGGGAAAUC